UACGUAGGGUGCAAGCGUUAAUCGGAAUUACUGGGCGUAAAGCGUGCGCAGGCGGUUAUGUAAGACAGGUGUGAAAUCCCCGGGCUUAACCUGGGAACUGCAUUUGUGACUGCAUAGCUAGAGUACGGUAGAGGGGGAUGGAAUUCCGCGUGUAGCAGUGAAAUGCGUAGAUAUGCGGAGGAACACCGAUGGCGAAGGCAAUCCCCUGGACCUGUACUGACGCCCAUGCACGAAAGCGUGGGGAGCAAACAGG
rnacentral:rRNA from 1 species